CCUACGGGAGGCAGCAGUGGGGAAGACUGCCCUAUGGGUUGUAAACCUCUUUUGUCAGGGAGCAACGCCGGCUACGUGUAGCCGGACUGAGAGUACCUGAAGAAAAAGCAUCGGCUAACUCCGUGCCAGCAGCCGCGGUAAUACGGAGGAUGCGAGCGUUAUCCGGAUUUAUUGGGUUUAAAGGGUGCGUAGGCGGAAUGCCAAGUCAGCGGUAAAAUCGCGGGGCUCAACCUCGCUCCGCCGUUGAAACUGGCGUUCUUGAGUGGGCGAGAAGUAUGCGGAAUGCGUGGUGUAGCGGUGAAAUG
rnacentral:rRNA from 1 species